rnacentral:rRNA from 1 species
AUUGAACGCUGGCGGCAUGCCUAACACAUGCAAGUCGAACGCGAAAUCACCUUCGGGUGAAAGUAGAGUGGCGGACGGGUGAGUAACGCGUGGGAAUCUGCCCAGUAGUGGGGGAUAACUCGAGGAAACUCGAGCUAAUACCGCAUACGCCCCAUGGGGGAAAGGCUUCGGCCGCUAUUGGAUGAGCCCGCGUCAGAUUAGCUAGUUGGUAGGGUAAAGGCCUACCAAGGCAACGAUCUGUAGCUGGUCUGAGAGGACGAACAGCCACACUGGGACUGAGACACGGCCCAGACUCCUACGGGAGGCAGCAGUGGGGAAUAUUGGACAAUGGGCGAAAGCCUGAUCCAGCAAUGCCGCGUGUGUGAAGAAGGCCUGCGGGUU